rnacentral:tRNA from 1 species
GCCCCUAUAGCUCAGUGGUAGAGCGUUGCACUCGUACGCGGUAUUAUUACAUAUAUAAUACACGAUAUGCAAAGGUCCAUUGUUCGAUCCAGUGUCGGGGCA